GAGGAAUAUUGGUCAAUGGGCGCAAGCCUGAACCAGCCAUCCCGCGUGAAGGAAGAAGGCGCUAUGCGUUGUAAACUUCUUUUCCAGGGGAAGAAAACCAGAUACGAGUAUCGGCUUGCCGGUACCCUGGGAAUAAGCAUCGGCUAACUCCGUGCCAGCAGCCGCGGUAAUACGGAGGAUGCGAGCGUUAUCCGGAUUUAUUGGGUUUAAAGGGUGCGUAGGCGGACAAAUAAGUCAGUGGUGAAAACCUGCAGCUUAACUGUAGAAUUGCCAUUGAUACUGUUAGUCUUGAGUAUGGUCAAGGUAGGCGGAAUGUGUAAUGUAGCGGUGAAAUGCUUAGAUAUUACACAGAACACCGAUUGCGAAGGCAGCUUACUGGACCAUUACUGACGCUGAUGCACGAAAGCGUGGGGAUCGAAC
rnacentral:rRNA from 1 species